ACGAACGCUGGCGGUGUGCUUCACACAUGCAAGUCGAACGAGGUAGCAAUACCUAGUGGCGGACGGGUGAGUAACGCGUGGGAAUCUGCCUUUAGAUGGGGGAUAACGGGUCGAAAGACUCGCUAAUACCGCAUAUGACGAAAGUUGAAAGGAGUAAUCCGUCUAAAGAUGAGCCCGCGUCCGAUUAGCUAGUUGGUAGAGUAAAAGCCUACCAAGGCGACGAUCGGUAGCUGGUCUGAGAGGAUGAUCAGCCACAAUGGGACUGAGACACGGCCCAUACUCCUACGGGAGGCAGCAGUGGGAAUUUUACGCAAUGGGCGAAAGCCUGACGUAGCGACACCGCGUGAGCGAAGAAGCCCCUUGGGGUGUAAAGCUCUGUCAGCUGGAACGAAAAAAUGACGGUACCAGCAGAGGAAGCAUCGGCUAACUACGUG
rnacentral:rRNA from 1 species